AUCACUUCUUGGUCCUUUGGAUAAGAUCGGAUGUAGUAUCUGUUCUUACCAGUUUUACUAUCCGAUACGCCCCCUCUCUGGGGCCCAUUUAUUAAAGGGAAUUUUAGAAUAAGGAGAAGAAAGAAAAACUUUCUCUUUCCACUCCACGCCUUGAGCUGGUAUUGUAGUACUUCCAGGACCGGUACACAACAC